ACAACUUUCAACAACGGAUCUCUUGGCUCUCGCAUCGAUGAARAACACAGCGAAAUGUGAUAAGUAAUGUGAAUUGCAGAAUCCAGUGAAUCAUCGAAUCUUUGAACGCAUCUUGCGCUCCUUGGUACUCUGAGGAGCAUGCCUGUUUGAGUGUCGUUAAA
rnacentral:rRNA from 1 species